rnacentral:rRNA from 1 species
UACGUAAGUCCCAAGCGUUACCCGGAAUUACUGGGUGUAAAGCGUUUGUAGGCUGCAAAAUAAGUUGGGUAUGAAAGACCGGAGCUCAACUCCGAGUUUGUAUUCAAAACUGUUUUGCUAGAAUCAGGGAGAGGUAAGCGGAAUUCUUAGUGUAGGGGUGCAAUCCGUAGAUACUAAGAGGAACACCAAAAGCGAAGGCAGCUUACUGGAACUGUAUUGACGCUCAGAAACGAAAGCGUGGGGAGCGAAAAGGAUUAGAUACCCUUGUAGUCCACGCCCUAAACGAUGAUAACUAAGUGUUUCUGCUUGACGGAAGUGCUGAAGCUAACGCGAUAAGUUAUCCACCUGAGGAGUACGGUCGCAAGAUUAAAACUCAAAGGAAUAGACGGGGACCCACACAAGCAGUGGAUCACGUGGUUUAAUUCGACAAUAAACGGGGAACCUUACCCAGACUUGACAUCUAGCGAAUCUUUCAGAGAUGAGAGAGUGCCUUUAUUGGAGCGCUAAGACAGGUGCUGCAUGGUUGUCGUCAGCUCGUGCCUUGAGGUGUCCGGUUAAGUCCGUUAACGAGCGCAACCCAUAUUCUUAGUUAUUAUGUCUAAGAAGACUGCCUUGGUUAACAAGGAGGAAGGUGUGGAUGACGUCAAAUCAGCAUGGCUUUUACGUCUGGGGCUACACACAUGAUACAAUGGUCUGUACAAAGAGCAGCAAUAUGGUAACAUUGAGCUAAUCUUUAAAGCAGAUCUCAGUCUGGAUUGAGGUCUGAAACUCGACCUCAUGAAGUUGGAAUUGCUAGUAAUCGUAAAUCAGACAUGUUACGGUGAAUGUGUUCCUGGGUCU